GACGAACGCUGGCGGCGUGCUUAACACAUGCAAGUCGAGCGGUAAGGCCCUUUCGGGGGUACACGAGCGGCGAACGGGUGAGUAACACGUGGGUGACCUGCCCUCAGCUCUGGGAUAAGCCUGGGAAACCGGGUCUAAUACCGGAUAUGACUCCAUGACGCAUGUUGUGGGGUGGAAAGCCUUGUGCGGCUGAGGAUGGGCCCGCGGCCUAUCAGCUUGUUGGUGGGGUGAUGGCCUACCAAGGCGACGACGGGUAGCCGGCCUGAGAGGGCGACCGGCCACACUGGGACUGAGACACGGCCCAGACUCCUACGGGAGGCAGCAGUGGGGAAUCUUGCGCAAUGGGCGAAAGCCUGACGCAGCGACGCCGCGUGAGGGAUGACGGCCUGGU
rnacentral:rRNA from 1 species